GGGUAGGUGCCCGAGUGGCUAAAGGGAACGGACUGUAAAUCCGUCGUCGGCUGACUACGCUGGUUCGAAUCCAGCCCUGCCCA
rnacentral:tRNA from 1 species